CCUACGGGGGGCAGCAGUGGGGGAUAUUGCACAAUGGAGGAAACUCUGAUGCAGCGACGCCGCGUGAGGGAAGACGGUCUUCGGAUUGUAACCCUCUGUCUUUGGGGAAGAAAAUGACGGUACCCAAAGAGGAAGCUCCGGCUAACUACGUGCCAGCAGCCGCGGUAAUACGUAGGGAGCGAGCGUUGUCCGGAAUUACUGGGUGUAAAGGGAGCGUAGGCGGGGAUGCAAGUUGGGUGUCAAAACUACCGGCUCAACUGGUAGUCGCACUCAAAACUGCAGCUAUUGAGUGAAGUAGAGGCAGGCGGAAUUCCUAGUGUAGCGGUGAAAUGCGUAGAUAUUAGGAGGAACACCAGUGGCGAAGGCGGCCUGCUGGGCUUUUACUGACGCUGAGGCUCGAAAGUGUGGGGAGCAAACAGGAUUAGAUACCCCAGUAGUC
rnacentral:rRNA from 1 species